rnacentral:rRNA from 2 species
AAAUUGAAGAGUUUGAUCAUGGCUCAGAUUGAACGCUGGCGGCAGGCCUAACACAUGCAAGUCGAACGGUAACAGGAAGCAGCUUGCUGCUUCGCUGACGAGUGGCGGACGGGUGAGUAAUGUCUGGGAAACUGCCUGAUGGAGGGGGAUAACUACUGGAAACGGUGGCUAAUACCGCAUAACGUCGCAAGACCAAAGAGGGGGACCUUCGGGCCUCUUGCCAUCAGAUGUGCCCAGAUGGGAUUAGCUUGUUGGUGAGGUAACGGCUCACCAAGGCGACGAUCCCUAGCUGGUCUGAGAGGAUGACCAGCCACACUGGAACUGAGACACGGUCCAGACUCCUACGGGAGGCAGCAGUGGGGAAUAUUGCACAAUGGGCGCAAGCCUGAUGCAGCCAUGCCGCGUGUAUGAAGAAGGCCUUCGGGUUGUAAAGUACUUUCAGCGGGGAGGAAGGUGUUGUGGUUAAUAACCGCAGCAAUUGACGUUACCCGCAGAAGAAGCACCGGCUAACUCCGUGCCAGCAGCCGCGGUAAUACGGAGGGUGCGAGCGUUAAUCGGAAUUACUGGGCGUAAAGCGCACGCAGGCGGUCUGUCAAGUCGGAUGUGAAAUCCCCGGGCUCAACCUGGGAACUGCAUUCGAAACUGGCAGGCUUGAGUCUUGUAGAGGGGGGUAGAAUUCCAGGUGUAGCGGUGAAAUGCGUAGAGAUCUGGAGGAAUACCGGUGGCGAAGGCGGCCCCCUGGACAAAGACUGACGCUCAGGUGCGAAAGCGUGGGGAGCAAACAGGAUUAGAUACCCUGGUAGUCCACGCCGUAAACGAUGUCUACUUGGAGGUUGUGCCCUUGAGGCGUGGCUUCCGGAGCUAACGCGUUAAGUAGACCGCCUGGGGAGUACGGCCGCAAGGUUAAAACUCAAAUGAAUUGACGGGGGCCCGCACAAGCGGUGGAGCAUGUGGUUUAAUUCGAUGCAACGCGAAGAACCUUACCUGGUCUUGACAUCCACGGAAGUUUUCAGAGAUGAGAAUGUGCCUUCGGGAACCGUGAGACAGGUGCUGCAUGGCUGUCGUCAGCUCGUGUUGUGAAAUGUUGGGUUAAGUCCCGCAACGAGCGCAACCCUUAUCCUUUGUUGCCAGCGGUCCGGCCGGGAACUCAAAGGAGACUGCCAGUGAUAAACUGGAGGAAGGUGGGGAUGACGUCAAGUCAUCAUGGCCCUUACGACCAGGGCUACACACGUGCUACAAUGGCGCAUACAAAGAGAAGCGACCUCGCGAGAGCAAGCGGACCUCAUAAAGUGCGUCGUAGUCCGGAUUGGAGUCUGCAACUCGACUCCAUGAAGUCGGAAUCGCUAGUAAUCGUGGAUCAGAAUGCCACGGUGAAUACGUUCCCGGGCCUUGUACACACCGCCCGUCACACCAUGGGAGUGGGUUGCAAAAGAAGUAGGUAGCUUAACCUUCGGGAGGGCGCUUACCACUUUGUGAUUCAUGACUGGGGUGAAGUCGUAACAAGGUAACCGUAGGGGAACCUGCGGUUGGAUCACCUCCUUACCUUAAAGAAGC